GUUGCCCCUAGAGGCAUUGCAAGUGUGGCUGCUGUGUCACAUGGGUAUCAUCAGUAGGUGGCAGAGAGGAGAGAGGCUAUGUCUAUGUUCAGUGUUCUGACUGAUGAACAUCCAAAUGAUUGGUAGCUUAACAUU